rnacentral:lncRNA from 1 species
UGUUUUGUGAGAUUAAGAGUCACUUAUGGUUUGUCUCCCUCCCAAUCCCAUCUUGUUUCAUUUAUUCUUCUGCAGCCAGAAUGCAAGAUAUAAUUUGUAACGCUUAUUUCUGAUCCCUCACCUCCCUCCUGCAUUUGUGGUUAGCUUGAACCUUGUAUUUUGUAAAAACUGGACAUGUUUCUAUUGCUGUUAAUUCUUUUUUCCACCCCCAGUUUCUGGCUGCUGGUCAGAGUGGACGGGCCAGAGUAUCCCAGGAUGGACCGCGGCUGUUGUGUCUCUGGGCCUUGCUGGAAGGGGAGAAUCUGGGAGCCGCCCAAAGAAGCUGCUAUGAUAAGUCUCCUAACGGGCUUCCAAAUUGAGAGAUGAAAAAUGCCUGCAUGGAUUUCCUCUCAAGUCAAAUCUGGGGAAUUGAAAUGGAAGGAAGUGCAUUUGGAAGGUGUAAUCUGUGUUUUCCAU